CGUGGUUCGGAUGGGCCGGACGUAGCGGCGGACUCAUCAUCCGUCGGCCGUGGGUUCGAGUCCCACCCGCCCCACCA
rnacentral:tRNA from 1 species